rnacentral:rRNA from 1 species
AGCGAACGCUGGCGGCAGGCCUAACACAUGCAAGUCGAACGAAGUCUUCGGACUUAGUGGCGGACGGGUGAGUAACACGUGGGAACGUGCCUUUAGGUUCGGAAUAACUCAGGGAAACUUGUGCUAAUACCGAAUGUGCCCUUCGGGGAAAGAUUUAUCGCCUUUAGAGCGGCCCGCGUCUGAUUAGCUAGUUGGUGAGGUAAAGGCUCACCAAGGCGACGAUCAGUAGCUGGUCUGAGAGGAUGAUCAGCCACAUUGGGACUGAGACACGGCCCAAACUCCUACGGGAGGCAGCAGUGGGGAAUCUUGCGCAAUGGGCGAAAGCCUGACGCAGCCAUGCCGCGUGAAUGAUGAAGGUCUUAGGAUUGUAAAAUUCUUUCGCCGGGGACGAUAAUGACGGUACCCGGAGAAGAAGCCCCGGCUAACUUCGUGCCAGCAGCCGCAGUAA